UCGACCUGAGCUCAGCAAGAUUACCCGCUGACUUAG
rnacentral:rRNA from 1 species